rnacentral:lncRNA from 1 species
UCCAAAGUCAGCAGGAGGAAGUAGAAAUGAGACAGAGGCCUCUGUCUCCUAAUCUUUUCCAUAGGCUACUGUUUUCUUUCUUUUCUCAUGAGGAAAAAUGAUAAAAGCAAAAUAAACAAAUUAGCUACCACUUAUGAAAAUCCCCAGGAAAUUCCUUUUCCAGAGUUCUCACUUACUAAUUUGGCUAACAUUACCAAUGGUAACAGACCCCACGUAUCCGCCACAAUUGCUGUGAGUUGCAGAGGAAAAAGACUGGGAGGAAAUCUUCACUUUUCUUCUGCAACAGCAACCAACAGAAAUGAAAGAGCCAGGGGAUUUUGCAAAAUAUCAACUCCUGAGAACUAAGAAUGAGAGCCUUUCCUGCCAAGCCCAUUCUGUGCCAGUCAUCAUAAAAUACUAUGACCCUUCCUUCCAGAAGAACAAUGCGCUGUGAUCUUUGGCUACUCAAGCUUUACAUCAUCCAUAUUACCCUGCAGCAGGAACAGAUUGAUGGGGAUUCUAUAGCACAUCCUUGAAUUGUGUUUAUCCAAUCCACAUUUCUCUUCUGCUGGACAUUCAGAGGACUGUUUCUCACUAAUAUCAGGAGAAAUCUGUCUUGGUGUUGGAGCCUCUUGGAAUUCGUGACAAGGAAAAAAGUACACCAAGUAAACUAGUAAAACAAAAGGACCAGCAACAAGGCACCAUCUUUGAAGCAAGAAACAGUCCCUUGCCAGACAUCAAAUCUGCUAGCACCUUACUCUUGGACUUCCACAACUGUGAACAAUAUAUUCCACAAGAAUGAACAAGUUACCCAUUCUAAGAUAUUUUGCUAGAGCAGCCCAAACAGACUACAACAGUUUGAUUUUCUAGUUAUUCUUUCACAA